rnacentral:rRNA from 1 species
CCUACGGGAGGCAGCAGUGAGGAAUAUUGGACAAUGGGCGCAAGCCUGAUCCAGCCAUGCCGCGUGCAGGAAGAAGCAUCUAUGGUGUGUAAACUGCUUUUGUACAGGAAGAAACACUCCCUCGUGAGGGAGCUUGACGGUACUGUAAGAAUAAGGACCGGCUAACUCCGUGCCAGCAGCCGCGGUAAUACGGAGGGUCCGAGCGUUAUCCGGAAUCAUUGGGGUUUAAAGGGUCCGUAGGCGGUUUAAUAAGUCAGUGGUGAAAUCUGGUCGCUCAACGAUCAAACGGCCAUUGAUACUGUUAGACUUGAAUUAUAAGGAAGUAACUAGAAUAUGUAGUGUAGCGGUGAAAUGCUUAGAUAUUACAUGGAAUACCAAUUGCGAAGGCAGGUUACUACUUAUGGAUUGACGCUGAUGGACGAAAGCGUGGGGAGCGGAACAGGAUUAGAUACCCUGGUAGUCCACGCCGUAAACGAUGGAUACUAGCUGUUCGGAGCAAUNUGAGUGNGUAGACGAAGUAGAGUAAGUAUCCACCGUCGGGAGGUACGUUCGACGAAGAAGAGAACGACGAAAGAAAGUUAGACGGCGUAGAGACGUAGACCGACGGACGACGACGAGGGGAGGAGGG